rnacentral:lncRNA from 1 species
CUUCUGGGAUUUCAUCUUCACUUCAAUCCCAUGGCUACUAUACAUACAUUUCCCACUCUUCUUUUCUCACUACUGUUCGCUCUGGGUCUGUGUUCUGCUAGAAGGGCCCUUCUCACCUUUGAUACUGGAUAUGGUCUAGGCAUUGGCAUUGCUGGUGGUUAUGGUGCUGGUGGAGGUGGCGGCUCCGGUGGUGGCGGUGGAUAUGGUGGGGAGAAUGGAGUUGUUGGGUAUGGAGGUGGUAGUGGCGGAGGACAGGGUGGGGGAGUAGGAUAUGGCGGUGAUCAUGGAUAUGGUGGUGGUGGUGGAAGUGGUGGCGGUGGCGGUGUGGCUUAUGGUGGUGGGGGAGAGCAUGGUGGUGGUUAUGGUGGAGGUCAAGGAGGUGGAGCAGGUGGAGGAUACGGAGCCGGUGGGGAACAUGGCAUUGGGUAUGGAGGAGGUGGCGGAAGUGGUGCUGGUGGUGGGGGUGGGUAUGGUGCAGGAGGAGCACAGGGUGGUGGAUAUGGUACGGGUGGAGGAGCUGGUGGUGGUGCAGGAGGACAGCAAGGGGGCGGUUACGGGGGUGGUCAAGGAGGUGGAGGGGGAACAGGUGGAGGAUACGGUGAAGGUGGAGUACAUGGUGGUGGUUAUGGUGGUAGUGGUCAAGGAAGUGGAGGUGGAGCAGGUGGAGGGUAUGGUGGUGGUGGUGGACAAGGAGGUGGAGCUGGUGGAGGAUAUGGUGCGGGUGGAGAGCAUGGAGGUGGAUAUGGUGGUGGACAAGGAGGAGGAGCGGGUGGAGGAUACGGUGCGGGUGGAGAGCACGGUGGUGGAUCAGGGGGUGGUCAAGGAGGGGGAGCUGGUGGAGGGUAUGGUACCGGCGGAGAGCAUGGUGGGGGAUAUGGGGCUGGCCAAGGAGGUGGAGCAGGCGGAGGGUAUGGUGGAGAGCAUGGUGGUGGUUAUGGCGGAGGUGAAGGAGGUGGAGGAGGAUAUGGUUCCGGUGGGGAACAUGGCAUUGGAUACGGAGGAGGUGGUGGAAGUGGAGGUGGGAGUGGAGGAGGUUAUGGUGAUGGAGGAGCUCAUGGAGGUGGAUAUGGUGGCGGCGCCGGUGGAGGAGGUGGGUAUGGGGCAGGUGGAGCACAUGGUGGUGGUUACGGAGGAGGUGGUGGAAGUGGCGUGGGCCAUGGUGGCUAUGUUCCCUAAGAAUUUUUCUACAAAGCACAAUAGAUAUCGAAGUGAAACCUUGGAAAGAAUAAGCAUGAUGUUAUAAUAAUAAUAAUAAUAAUAAUAAUAAUAAUAAUAAUAAUAAACUAAAGAUUUUUAUGUACGCAAAUUUUUAUUCCAAAUUUUAAAAAAGUGGGACCCAUGAAUGUAAAAAUGAAUAUCCGUGUGAAAGUAUUAUUUGUGUUAUGGUAAAACUAUUCUCUUCUUCUUGUACUUGUUUUUCUAUUUAUAUGGAAGAAAUAUGCUGAGUUUGAAAAUAUCUUUCUGCUCCAUCUUGGUGCAAACAAACACCUUCAAUUACUACAAAAAAAGAUU